rnacentral:snRNA from 1 species
GCUCACUUCGGCAGCAUGAAAAUUGGAAAGAUACGGAGAAGAGUAGCAUGGCCCUGAGCAAGGAUGGCAUGCAAAGUCGUGAAACAGUCCAGAUUUUU